AGACAUAAUGGGACUAUGGAAUGUGGAUGGCAUAUGACAUAAGAGAGAGUAGCAGUCUGGACCAAAUGUGGCGCCUAGAAACUAUGUCCAAGACUAGUUUGUCAUUUAUAAUUAGUUUAGGGACUUAGAAGGCAAUUAUGAGAGAAUAAAUUAUUAAAGGCUUAAUGCUGAAUUUGUAUUCAUCAUUUAUUAUUCUGUAUUAUUUUGAGAGAGGAG
rnacentral:lncRNA from 1 species